rnacentral:rRNA from 1 species
CUUUUUCUUGGUCAUUUAGAGGAAGUAAAAGUCGUAACAAGGUUUCCGUAGGUGAACCUGCGGAAGGAUCAUUACUAAACAAUGUGCGGGAUAUCCCACCGGGGACUCCUUAGCGAAACACAUCCAUGAGUACCCUCCCAUGUUGCUUCCCCAGACCAGUGGCCACUGCUGUCAGCUCUGUCCUCUAAUACAGGAUCAUGGGUUGAGGUGUCUGGGGAAGGGCCCACUGUCAAACUUUUGAACCAAUUUGUUGUCUGAGAAGGCCAUAUGCCGCAAUAUUUAAAAACAUGUUAAAACUUUCAACAACGGAUCUCUUGGCUCUCGCAUCGAUGAAGAACGCAGCGAAAUGCGAUAAGUAAUGUGAAUUGCAGAAUUCAGUGAAUCAUCGAAUCUUUGAACGCACAUUGCGCCCUUUGGUAUUCCUUAGGGCAUGCCUGUUCGAGCGUCACUAAAAACCCCCUCACAGAUAAUGUGGUAUUGGUAGAAGUGGGUAGUACUAACAGUGCUUUGUCCCACUCUACCAAAAUGAAUAGGCCAGAAAAGUGAACUUGGGUAACAGACUCUCAGAGUGUUUUAAAAUGCUAAACUAGUCCUACCCAGGUUGGAAUCUGAGCCACUGGACCCCCAUUUAGUCCAAAACAGAGAGGUGACCUCGGAUCAGGUAGGWUGCMRKUU